ensembl:antisense RIKEN cDNA 4732471J01 gene
GACUAAAAGCCGAAGGUACUCUAGAGGAAACCAGCUCUCCUGGUUGGUCCAGAAACCUGUUUCUGGAGUCUGAUAAAGAUACAUGGACUGCAGGUGGAGCUGCUUGUUUAGCGUUUGCCAGGCCCUAGGUUUGGCUGUAAGCAGUGCCGCCAGACAGACAAAACUCAUAACCAAACCAGGAUUUAAUGCCUGCUCUGAUUGAGCCAUGCAGCAUCUCUGGUUGUUCUGCCACUGUUUCUCCAGCCUUUUGGAUACAGGGAAGCUAGAUGGUAACUCUCCCCUUUCUCUAAAGACGAUGUAAAAGUUCUCGUGUUUUGCAAGUCGCCCCAGGGUUGCUGGGUUGACGAAGGUCGAUUGUCAAAGAGCAGAUGGAUGGAUUCACUGAGCGUAAGAAGGGGCUGCAAGGAGAUCUUUCAAUUACCAGAUGCCCCUUCUGCCUACCUUUUGCAUUCUUACAUUUCUUCAUUUAGAAAAAGCGGUUAAAAACCCUUCCACGUUAUUCUUUUAAGAGGGCAGAAGACAUGAAAACCGCUUGAACCGAAGCCGAAAACGUUAAGGGCACAGCUCUUGUUCUUGGCCACACAGAAAAAGGAACCUGAGAGAGAACCCUAUUCCGACAGACUAGCAUUUCAGACACUUCCCCCAAGACCGCACUGGGACAGCCGGUAGUCCUUACGUCUCGGUGGGGCAUUCUACUCUCAUCACCCCCCACGCAGGACGGCAGUGGGUCAGUCCACCGAUCUCUUUCCCCCUCGUGGAAGUGGGUCAGUCCCCCCAGUCCCCCGCAGGAUGUGCGCGAUUCCUUCCAAGCUGCUACCGGCUCACCUUUGAUCUUGCCUUUUCGCCACCGCCUGCGACUGCGGUUCUUCGAUCCUUCUUUGGCCUGCUUGGCGGCCUGGGCCCCCACGGGCGCGGGUUCCACCGCCGGCUCCAUCAAUUCUUUCCAGUCCUGGCGCGGGGCCCAAUUCCAGCGAGCAAGUCCCUCUCUUAGAGUCAAUCCUAGUUACACACCACUGCCAGGCCCCCAAACCAUCCAAUCCUGGGCAGGCUCCUCGCGGAGCUCCGCCUCUAAUGGGUGGGGCUGAAGGUCUCGGCCUGCCCAUUCGCUCAGAUUAAAGGAACCGCGCAGUGCACCGCAACGACAGACAAAAAACAAAAGCAAAAAAAAAAAAAAAAAAAAAACCCGCGCAAUCCUGGAGGCGGCGAAAAGUGUCCUCACAGCAGGAAUAGCGAGGAGUCGCGUUAGAGUCACCCCAACAAAGAAUUCUCAGUCAUCUCGUGCAGAAUCAAAGGGAUGCCGGGCAGGGAAAGGGGAGGACAGCAACACCGCUGGCCUCCGGGUUGACCUACAGAAAGGAGCCUAAGUCGACGGAGGCCGCGUGCCCCGGACCAGGCGGGAAACAGAGGCGGCCCGAGACUCGCACAUGCGCACAGGGCUCGCUGUGCUCCCAGUUGCUUCUGGGUUGCCCAUGCCAGAAGCUUCUGGAACCCGGCUGCCCUGGGAGGACUAAGUAAGCCUCGGUUUUCUUCUUGACAGAGACUGGGCUCUGUGGCUGUUACCUGCCAUUGCUUCGGAGAGGGAGAGGUGACAAGGAAGAACCCCCACAGCUCACCAGCACAUCACUACGUCACCACGCUGUUUCCAUCCAGCCUGGAUCUUGCCACAGACUUCUGCAGCCCUAUCCAGGUCCCGCUCCCAAGCUUCUCUACCCCAUGAAACCGAGUCAUUCCACGGCGCUGAGGCCCUGUAGAGGCAUCGGGCGGCAGAGGAGGCAGAUGUGCAAUCAAGGGAUGAAAUAUACUUCAUAAACCUAGAGGUACAAAUGCAGUCAACGUUCUAAGGUUGUGGAGGUUCACUGGGGACUGAAAUGGUGAUUAGGGGCAACAAGAUGACUCAGUGAAUAAGGUACUUGCUGCCUGAUUUGAUCCCUGGGACUCAUGAGGGAGAAGGGAAUGGACUCUGGCGAGUUGUCCUUUGACAUCUAUACAUGGACUGUGGCAUAAAUACAAACAAACAAACAAACAUACAUACAUACAUACACAGACAAAGUCAAUAACUAAUAAUAUAUAAAAAAACACACGCACAGGGAAAUGUAACUAAUGGAGAAAUACAGAGCUAUUUGGAUCUUGAAAAGAAUUUUCUAUGAAACUGCAGUCUCUUUACUUUCUUUGAGCUAGCGUGCUAGGAGGCUGUUGAGGGUGUGGAAAGAGAAAGAUGUGUGAGAGAUGGCCGAGAGUCAAGGUUUUGUCUGAUGUUCUCACACUGAGCCUGUUCUACCACACCCAGGUGCCAAGAUGCAGAACUGGAGUUUUUUUCUCCUUAAGGCUUUAUAAUGCUGUUUGGUGACUUCAUCUUUCUUUUUUUUAAAUCCCGCUUCCUUAGAUACUUACUUAGUUUGCUGUCACUUAAAUAAAAUGAAAUAAAGUAAAGACUUCCUGGACCUC